rnacentral:rRNA from 1 species
GUAGCACAGAGGAGCUUGCUCCUUGGGUGACGAGUGGCGGACGGGUGAGUAAUGUCUGGGGAUCUGCCCGAUGGAGGGGGAUAACUACUGGAAACGGUAGCUAAUACCGCAUAACGUCGCAAGACCAAAGUGGGGGACCUUCGGGCCUCACACCAUCGGAUGAACCCAGAUGGGAUUAGCUAGUAGGUGGGGUAACGGCUCACCUAGGCGACGAUCCCUAGCUGGUCUGAGAGGAUGACCAGCCACACUGGAACUGAGACACGGUCCAGACUCCUACGGGAGGCAGCAGUGGGGAAUAUUGCACAAUGGGCGCAAGCCUGAUGCAGCCAUGCCGCGUGUAUGAAGAAGGCCUUCGGGUUGUAAAGUACUUUCAGCGGGGAGGAAGGAUGAUGUUUAAUACGCAUCGUCAUUGACCCCGCAGAAGAAGCACCGGCUA